rnacentral:rRNA from 1 species
GACGAACGCUGGCGGCGUGCUUAACACGUGCAAGUCGAACGGUAAGGCCCUUCGGGGUACACGAGUGGCGAACGGGUGAGUAACACGUGGGUGAUCUGCCCUGCACUUCGGGAUAAGCCUGGGAAACUGGGUCUAAUACCGGAUAGGACUCCGGACUGCAUGGUCUGGGGUGGAAAGCUUUUGCGGUGUGGGAUGGGCCCGCGGCCUAUCAGCUUGUUGGUGGGGUGAUGGCCUACCAAGGCGACGACGGGUAGCCGGCCUGAGAGGGUGACCGGCCACACUGGGACUGAGAUACGGCCCAGACUCCUACGGGAGGCAGCAGUGGGGAAUAUUGCACAAUGGGCGCAAGCCUGAUGCAGCGACGCCGCGUGAGGGGUGACGGCCUUCGGGUUGUAAACCUCUUUUAGUAGGGAAGAAGCGAAAGUGACGGUACCUGCAGAAAAAGCACCGGCUAACUACGUGCCAGCCGCCGCCGUAA